UAGGAACACUCAUCCAGUGUGCUGAAAUGU
rnacentral:piRNA from 1 species